rnacentral:rRNA from 1 species
GAGGGGUGCAAACGUUUAUUCGGAUUUACUGGGCGUAAAGGGUGCGUAGACGGCGCAUUAAGUUUGUUGUUAAAUCUUUCGGCCUAACCGGAAGCUUGCGAUGAAAACUAAUGUGCUAGAGGAUGGAAGAGAGAAGUGGAAUUCUUGGAGUAGCGGUAAAAUGCGUAGAUCUCAAGAGGAACACCGAUGGCGAAGGCAGCUUCUUGGUCCAAUCCUGACGUUGAUGCACGAAAGCGUGGGGAGCAAACAGGAUUAGAUACCCUGGUAGUCCACGCCGUAAACGAUGAUUACUGGAUGCCCAGAUUCGCUUUGCGAAGCUGGUAUCGAAGCUAACGCGUUAAGUAAUCCGCCUGGGAACUACGAUCGCAAGAUUA